UCAAGGAAAAGAUCAGCACCCAGCACUCUUGAACUAUAUGCUAGGCCUCUUCUUCCUGGGACCUAAUGGAUUUAAACGGCUUGAGAGAAUGGAAUAAGUUGUUGAAAAUGGUCCUUUCGAAAGACUUCACCGAAGGCCAAAGAUGAGACUCACUGAAGCCAAGCUGAUCAACAAUAUCUAUAAGUUGACGCAAUCUAAUCAAGAAGCGAUCUUGCCCUUGGAAGGUGGAUUUAUGGGCCACUGUCCCCAAGAAGAUGAACAUCAGGCAGAUGACUAUCUUCUCCAUGUUGCCAGGACUGGAUCUCAUAAGUGCCAGUAGAGCAAGACCUUGGUCUCAGUUUUCACUUCAAUUUGACUGUGAACAGCCUGUCAGCAAAGCUACCUAUUUAUUCAUCCUUCAGGGAGAGGUAAAGCCCUCCCAUUGCAGCCUGGAAAUCUUUGUAAAAUGGAUGAAUGCUUGAGAGACUUCUGUGAAGGGCAGUAUGGGACAUACUUCAGUAUAUACCACUGUGCGUAAGUGCAGGAGCUCCAGACUUCCUAUACAGGAGACACAGGGGCAGCAGUCCAGCUGGAAGCAAGCGCACUGCUUUUACUUAACAUCUGUGUUUCUUUGAUGCCUUGGAAUGAGGUGGUGUCUGCCAAGCCCUUGUGCACAGCUGAAUAGGAAGCCCCUCCCCCCAUUCUCCCAAGGGGCAGCAGCGGGAUCUGCCGAGAGUCUGCAGGCUGAACGUGGUCCUCAUUCUGGACAGUUGUUUCUGCUUCUAAGAAUCAGGAUCAUUUUUGGAAGAUUACCACUUUUCAUCUUUGUAUAUACUGAAGUAAUACCUGUGUGUCGUGAAAUGAAGAAUUCAAAGAACAUGUCAGUGUAAAGACAGAGCAAAAUAUAAAAUUACUCCCUUUCUUCCCUAAUUUUCACUCUUGGGACACUCUUGAGAGUUUGCUGUGUAUCAUUCUAGACUCUUCUUAUGUACAUAGAACAGUAUAGAGGACUAUAUAUAUAGGUAGAGAGAGAGAGAGAAAGAAAUAGAAUUAUAUAUGGAGAAAGAGAUAUGUAGAAAUAGAUACAGAAAUAGAAAAAUGUGGUUUUUUUCCAGUAAAAAUUUAAUUUUACCAUACAUAUUCUACAACUUUCCUUUUUCAUUCAACAACAUAUGUCAGGGCAGCAACCCAUACAGAAUUUAUGCACAGGGCAAUUUCAUUGAAAUAGCUGGAUUACUAUUCCACUGUAUGGCUGUAAUAACUUAACCCAUUCACAGCCCUAUUGACAGAUUUAUUUCUAAUUAUCAUAUUCUACAAAAUAUGCUGUAACGAACAUUCUUAAACAUCUGUAUCUUUUAGCAUAUGUGAAAUAUAUUCCUUUAGGGUACAUAUCCUGUAUUUCACUUCCUAUGUGGAAAGAUAACAUCCUUUAAAAAAUUUGAAACUGCCAAAUUGCCCUCCACCAUGCCACAUCAGUUUAUGCACCCACUCAUAAUGCAGUUUCCUUUCCUCUUCCAGCCUCAUAAACACUUUAUGUUGUAUUUUAAAGAUUUGCCAAUAUGCAAAGGCAAAAUAUAGUAUCCACUUAUGGGUUUGUCUUUCUUGAUCAAUAGUUAAGUUUGGCCUAUUUUCAUAUCUUCAUUAUCAGUGUAUUUUUUUUGUAUGUGUGUGUGUAUGUGUGUAUGUGUGUGUGUGUGUGUGUGUGUGUGUGUGUGAACAGCCUUGUUCACAUUCUUUGCCCAUCAACUGGGUUGUUUCUUACACACUUGUAAGGGUUUUUUUUUGUAUUAAAGAUAUGUUAAACCUGUUGAAAUUAUUUCCUCUUUGGUGUCUUUUGCCAUACAGAAAUUUUAAGUUGUCAUGUUAUUAUAUCUGAGAAUCUUAUGUUUUGUGGAAUAAACUAUUUAAUAUCAAAAACCUCCCAUAAUAGUAAAUAGUAAUAAUUGGUUUAGUGUUCCUCUUGCUUGGGGAAUUCCAGUGCCAAGGGGGGUGGGAGUCACUAUGAACUCAGGAGUGCUUUUAAAUGAAUUUGAACUUAAUUCAUCGCAUGACCAGCUACGUACUUUCUUGAAAAACAAUAAUAGACAUAUG